rnacentral:tRNA from 1 species
CGGGGCGUAGCGCAGACCGGCCAGCGCGCGUGGUUUGGGACCACGAGGUCGCCGGUUCAAAUCCGGCCGCCCCGACCA